rnacentral:rRNA from 1 species
UACGAGUGCCUCGAGCGUUAUCCGGAAUCAUUGGGCGUAAAGGGUGCGUAGGCGGCGAUGUUAGUCUCGCGUUAAAUCUUUCGGCUCAACCGAGAGUCUGCGUGGGAAACGGCAUUGCUUGAGGACGGGAGAGGUUUCUGGAACUCAUAGUGUAGCGGUGAAAUGCGUUGAUAUUAUGGGGAACACCGAAAGCGAAGGCAAGAAACUGGCCCGCUCCUGACGCUGAAGCACGAAAGCGUGGGUCGCGAAUGGG